UGCAUUGGAUUGAGAACAACGUACAAACCUUAUCGAUAAACAAUUGGAGGGCAAGUCUGGUGCCAGCAGCCGCGGUAAUUCCAGCUCCAAUAGCGUAUAUUAACGUUGUUGCAGUUAAAAAGCUCGUAGUUGAAAUGAAGGGUAGUUGUGUAAUGAAUACAUUCGUGUAUUUUGUUAUUCUACUACCCUCCUUCUAAAUUCGAUAUAUGAGUAUUAAUUUACUUGUAUAUGGUUUUAGACGUUUACUGUGAGAAAAUUAGAGUGUUCAAAGCAGGCAUUUGCUUGAAUAUAUUAGCAUGGAAUAAUCAUGUAUGAUUUUCAUGAUGUAUUUGAUUGGUUUGGUUCAUGAGAAUAAGAUUAAAAGGGACAGUUGGGGGUAUUCAUAUUCAAUAGUCAGAGGUGAAAUUCUCGGAUUUAUGGAAGAUGAACAAGUGCCGAAAG
rnacentral:rRNA from 1 species